rnacentral:rRNA from 1 species
GACGAACGCUGGCGGCGUGCUUAACACAUGCAAGUCGAACGGAAAGGCCCUGCUUUUGUGGGGUGCUCGAGUGGCGAACGGGUGAGUAACACGUGAGUAACCUGCCCUUGACUUUGGGAUAACUUCAGGAAACUGGGGCUAAUACCGGAUAGGAGCUCCUGCUGCAUGGUGGGGGUUGGAAAGUUUCGGCGGUUGGGGAUGGACUCGCGGCUUAUCAGCUUGUUGGUGGGGUAGUGGCUUACCAAGGCUUUGACGGGUAGCCGGCCUGAGAGGGUGACCGGCCACAUUGGGACUGAGAUACGGCCCAGACUCCUACGGGAGGCAGCAGUGGGGAAUAUUGCACAAUGGGCGGAAGCCUGAUGCAGCAACGCCGCGUGCGGGAUGACGGCCUUCGGGUUGUGAACCGCUUUCGCCUGUGACGAAGCGUGAGUGACGGUAAUGGGUAAAGAAGCACCGGCUAACUACGUGCCAGCAGCCGCGGUGAUACGUAGGGUGCGAGCGUUGUCCGGAUUUAUUGGGCGUAAAGGGCUCGUAGGUGGUUGAUCGCGUCGGAAGUGUAAUCUUGGGGCUUAACCCUGAGCGUGCUUUCGAUACGGGUUGACUUGAGGAAGGUAGGGGAGAAUGGAAUUCCUGGUGGAGCGGUGGAAUGCGCAGAUAUCAGGAGGAACACCAGUGGCGAAGGCGGUUCUCUGGGCCUUUCCUGACGCUGAGGAGCGAAAGCGUGGGGAGCGAACAGGCUUAGAUACCCUGGUAGUCCACGCUGUAAACGGUGGGUACUAGGUGUGGGGUCCAUUCCACGGGUUCCGUGCCGUAGCUAACGCUUUAAGUACCCCGCCUGGGGAGUACGGCCGCAAGGCUAAAACUCAAAGGAAUUGACGGGGCCCCGCACAAGCAGCGGAGCAUGCGGAUUAAUUCGAUGCAACGCGUAGAACCUUACCUGGGUUUGACAUGGAUCGGGAGUGCUCAGAGAUGGGUGUGCCUCUUUUGGGGUCGGUUCACAGGUGGUGCAUGCCUGUCGUCAGCUCGUGUCGUGAGAUGUUGGGUUAAGUCCCGCAACGAGCGCAACCCUUGUUCACUGUUGCCAGCACGUUAUGGUGGGGACUCAGUGGAGACCGCCGGGGUCAACUCGGAGGAAGGUGGGGAUGACGUCAAGUCCUCAUGCCCCUUAUGUCCAGGGCUUCACGCAUGCUACAAUGGCUGGUACAGAGAGUGGCGAACCUGUGAGGGUGAGCGAAUCUCGGAAAGCCGGUCUCAGUUCGGAUUGGGGUCUGCAACUCGACCUCAUGAAGUCGGAGUCGCUAGUAAUCGCAGAUCAGCAACGCUGCGGUGAAUACGUUCCCGGG